CAGUAGCCGCGGGAAUACGUAGGGUCCGAGCGUUGUCCGGAAUUAUUGGGCGUAAAGGGCUCGUAGGCGGUUUGUCGCGUCGGGAGUGAAAACCAGCAGCUUAACUGCUGGCCUGCUUUCGAUACGGGCAGACUUGAGGCAUUCAGGGGAGAACGGAAUUCCUGGUGUAGCGGUGAAAUGCGCAGAUAUCAGGAGGAACACCGGUGGCGAAGGCGGUUCUCUGGGAAUGUUCUGACGCUGAGGAGCGAAAGUGUGGGGAGCGAACAGGAUUAGAUACCCCCGUAGUCCCUGUCUCUUAUAC
rnacentral:rRNA from 1 species